rnacentral:rRNA from 1 species
UACGGAGGAUCCAAGCGUUAUCCGGAUUUAUUGGGUUUAAAGGGUGCGUAGGUGGCCUGUUAAGUCAGGGGUGAAAGACGGUAGCUCAACUAUCGCAGUGCCCUUGAUACUGAUGGGCUUGAAUAAACUAGAGGUAGGCGGAAUGUGACAAGUAGCGGUGAAAUGCAUAGAUAUGUCACAGAACACCAAUGCGAAGGCAGCUCGCUGGGACGUAACUGACGCUGAGACGCGAAAGCGUGGGGAGCAAACAGG